GCUGAGUUUUUGAGUAGAAUCCUUCUGUGCUCUGGCCUUGGCUCCCAUCCAACAGGGCCUCAGGCAGCUCCUGUCCGAGGGGUCUCAGGAAGUAGUAGCUCUCAGUACUGGCCAUGGGACCCUCAUCUGUAUGGUGGUUCCACUCCGGAGAAGGUGUCCACGGAGGUUCAUAGUAGGUGGUUUUCUUUUGAUUUUGAUGGAACUAAGUUAUUCUUUCCUUUUGAUUUUAUAAAUAUUUUAAACAUUUAGUUUCCUAUUUUUCUUCUUAGUGAAAUAUCUUUAAAAUGUGAUACUUUGCAUUUUAACCCCCUCAACUUCUGUGAUUUCUCCCUCUUUUUAUGCUUCUUCUGUUUGGAAAGUUAUUUUUGAUUGGUUUGGUUUUAAUCCUUAAAUUAAAAUGUCUCCUCUUUUUCUCUCUUGACAUCUCUUUUCUUGUUACCAGUUUUUUCAUGUUUUAUAGUUUUUCCUCCCAUAAAGUCCCUUGGCCUUUGGCUUGUAGUUUUGAUUAAAGCGGAUUUUUUUCUUGGGCUUUUAAUUAGGUUUUCUUUUUCGUUAGCUUUUCUUAGGGAGAUUGAAGAUGGGGCUGACCGAUACUUGGGUCAGUGGUAUAAUUACUUAGGAUGAGACUAAUGUGAACAUUGAGUGGCUUGAAUACAGUGUUUAGCUUAGUUUAUGGAAAUUUCCAUUUCCAUUUGAGGGCUAUUUCCUGGCUUAGAGGCAGCGCCCUAAAAGAAUACCAAAAUCAAAUUCUUAGUGCUAUGUGCAUUUGGGUCAAGGUGAGAUAUGAGAAGUGGGUAAUGUAUAGGGAACGGUAUUUAUAACUCUAGAAAUAGUGUUUUGCUAAGAGAUGGGAUGUUGAUUUGAUAGCAGAGAAUAACUGGGUCUUUUAACCACACUCUGUAUGUGCUGUGAAAUUCAUCUUUUUUCUUGCUUCACCCAAAUAUCCUGAACCAGAGUGGUCAAUGAGCAUUAUAAAUAAGUGUGGUUAGUUAGUGUGAGAAGACCUAGAGUCUGAUGCCACUUGUACCAUGGGUUUCAAGUGUGAUGAAGUGCCCUGCUUCCUUAGGUGUCAGAUGGGGACCGUAGCACGUAAAGUGGAAGAAAAAAUAGAUAUGGAAAUGAAUUGAAAAUGCUUUAGUUAGCUUUUUCUUUUACAGGAACCUAGCUGUUGUAGCCCACAGCCGUUACUUAAUUUAGCAGUGUUUAUCCCCUGUGAUGUUAUUUCUAGAGAAUUCCACUGUUUUCUUGAUGCAUUUCUUGUGCAAACACUACAUGCAGAUGUAUUUGUUCAAAAUGUUUUAAUGCAUAUGCUACUGAGUGCACAGUUAGCGUUAACCGUAGUAGAGAAUUUAGGUGUUUUGUCCUAAAAUAAGACUUUUGUUUUCAUUUUAUGACAAGAGACAUCAAAAAGGUAUGAGUGUGAUAAUGCAUUGCCUCUUUUUUUUUUCUUUUUUUAACGAAUUCAGCACUUUUGAAAUUGCAGAAAUUUGUAAAUAUAUUUUUGGUAGAAAACUACAGUGAGGAUGGCAUUGGUAGGUUGUUGAGUUAGGAAUAGGAGCAGUUUUUCCUGCCACGUUGGUCAUAAGCCCAGGAACUUUUAAUAUUAAGAUAUAGGGAGAGCUAGAGUUACCUUGUAACCCCGACAUGAUUUAAGAGGCUGUUUUUCUUUCUCAAGUUGCUUGUUCCAGUCUUAUCGCUCAGGAAGGAAACUUUGAAGAUUUUUUUUUAACUUUCUGGGAGUCAAAGAUUAAUUUGUAAUUAAAACAGUUAACCCCUAGCCUGGGAAUCUCUGUAUGCCGUGGGUGCGGCCCUAGAAAAGGCAAAAAUACCCCCCCAAAAAAAAUUAAAGUAUAAAAAACUUGAUUCAUAGUAGUAAAAUGUGAAUGAGAAUAUUAUUUUGUUGUGUUACAUAAAUUCUGGAAAUGAAGCUGUUCUUGUUCUUUUACUUAGGGACUGUAUUCUUUCUUUUGCCUCCAAUUAAUAGUGAGUUGCAGAAAAAUGACAGUUUGUAGUCAGUAACUGCUUUCUUUGGAUGAGAGUUGUUAGGAAAGACAUACCAUCUGGAUGUGAUUUAAUGUAAUCUCAUGUUAUAGCUAUAGCAUUUCAGAGAAUGGAAUAUUAAGACGUUUCCAUUUAGGCAGAUGUUUGACUUAGAGAUCUGAGAUGUCAAGUAGUAUUGAAAUUUUUGGACUUAGAAUUUUUUAAACUUCUUUUGGUCAUUCAGUCAACAAAGUUCUUUUUUAUUGAUGUUGAUCAUAUGUUCAUUUAUUCAGCGGAGAUAGGCCUGAAUAGGUAUGCGAUUCCCUGAUGUAAAAUUUUGUUUGUAUUGAUGCUUCCAGAGGAAGAGGUUAACAGUAUCAUGUAUCAGAAACAAAGUGUUUGGAAUUAGCACUGUUUCAGUCCAGUGUAGAAGCAGGUUCUCGCUGGGGGAAAAAGAAACACACUUGCAGAGGGCAUGGGAGGUAUACUGGACUGUUAGGGGUCGUAUGUCUUCAAGGUGGACAGUUUGGUGAUGUCCUGCACGUCGGCCUUGUGUGGUCAUCACUGCAUGAUGCUAAUUAACAUCCCACUCAGCUUGGAUACAGACCACGUUUUCUUGUGGUUUUGUUCUGAGAACAGUUGGGUCUAACCCUGUAAACAAAUUUCCAACAUGCACUAAAGUAUUAUUAACUACCGUUACAUUUUAGUAUUCUAGUAAUUUUUAUUCAGAAAUAUCUAUUAAGAGUAUGUAUUUCAAUAUAAAACAGUCGAGGCUCCUUUCAUGAAAUUUAUAGAUAAAAGCUGUUUGCAUUUUUUUUUUUUAAGUGUCGCCCCUAGGCAUAUGGAGGUUCAUGCGCACACACACCACACAUUCUUUUUCUCUUUCAGUUUUUUUUCCUAGUCGUCUGUAUUAGAAAAUUCACACACACGCGCGCGCGCGCACACACACACACACACAGAUAUACAUACAGUUUUCUAUCUUUUCUUUAAGUGGUCUUUGCAGCAUAAGCAAUUUCUCAUGAUAUUAAGGUUUUUGAAAACCUUAUUUUACAUUUUUUGUGUGUGUCUUUUU
rnacentral:lncRNA from 1 species